UGGGGAAUUUUGGACAAUGGGCGCAAGCCUGAUCCAGCAAUGCCGCGUGCAGGAUGAAGGCCUUCGGGUUGUAAACUGCUUUUGUACGGAACGAAACGGCUCUGGUUAAUACCUGGGGCUAAUGACGGUACCGUAAGAAUAAGCACCGGCUAACUACGUGCCAGCGGCCGCGGUUAUACGUAGGGUGCGAGCGUUAAUCGGAAUUACUGGGCGUAAAGCGUGCGCAGGCGGUGAUGUAAGACAGAUGUGAAAUCCCCGGGCUCAACCUGGGACCUGCAUUUGUGACUGCAUCGCCGGAGUGCGGCAGAGGGGGAUGGAAUUCCGCGUGUAGCAGUGAAAUGCGUAGAUAUGCGGAGGAACACCGAUGGCGAAGGCAAUCCCCUGGGCCUGCACUGACGCUCAUGCACGAAAGCGUGGGGAGCAAACA
rnacentral:rRNA from 1 species